CUUCAAAAAUGUGCGUACAGAAUCGCUGUUUCCCUUUGCAUCAUUAUCUUUAUUUUAAAUGUGUAUAAAUGUAAAAUAUCUGUCCAUGGAUGUAAUACUACCUAAUGACAAUAGCCAACUGCUGUGCUAUUUUGAUGCGACAUUUUCUACAAAUGUUAAGUGGAUAUACGAACAGAGGAUGGCGGUGAUGUCCAAGUGUUAUCAGCGAGUUCAUUGACCUCCAAUAUGUAAAUAGACACAAAAAUUGUGUUUCUGUGUUAACUGCUAAAACGGCCAUGGACAAUACAAUGCAACAGUACACCUUCCAUCCUUGAACUUUAAGUUCCGUUAACUGGCAACCGAAGAAAAUAGCAUAACAGAAGCAGCAACAGCAAGAAAAGGACAAAGUAAUGAGAGAUAUUAAUUCAGCCACAGAGGUUCAGUUUCGAGAUUUAACUAACAACCCAAUCAGUGAGUUUAUGAAGGAGUCUUUUGUACUGUGAAUAUACAUUAUGUCUAUGUUGAAGGAGUGGCUGGUGCCAAAGUCAGGGUGGAAGAUGGUCAUUCAAACUGUCGGCCUAGACCAGAUUCAUUUGUGAACUCGGUGAUAAGGUUUAGUAAAUCAUGUAGCUUCUUGGUAUAAUUCAUUUCCCUGUUUUCUUUGUCCAAUUCAUGGCG